GACGAACGCUGGCGGCGUGCUUAACACAUGCAAGUCGAACGGAAAGGCCCUGCUUUUGUGGGGUGCUCGAGUGGCGAACGGGUGAGUAACACGUGAGUAACCUGCCCUUGACUUUGGGAUAACUUCAGGAAACUGGGGCUAAUACCGGAUAGGAGCUCCUGCUGCAUGGUGGGGGUUGGAAAGUUUCGGCGGUUGGGGAUGGACUCGCGGCUUAUCAGCUUGUUGGUGGGGUAGUGGCUUACCAAGGCUUUGACGGGUAGCCGGCCUGAGAGGGUGACCGGCCACAUUGGGACUGAGAUACGGCCCAGACUCCUACGGGAGGCAGCAGUGGGGAAUAUUGCACAAUGGGCGGAAGCCUGAUGCAGCAACGCCGCGUGCGGGAUGACGGCCUUCGGGUUGUAAACCGCUUUCGCCUGUGACGAAGCGUGAGUGACGGUAAUGGGUAAAGAAGCACCGGCUAACUACGUGCCAGCAGCCGCGGUGAUACGUAGGGUGCGAGCGUUGUCCGGAUUUAUUGGGCGUAAAGGGCUCGUAGGUGGUUGAUCGCGUCGGAAGUGUAAUCUUGGGGCUUAACCCUGAGCGUGCUUACGAUACGGGUUGACUUGAGGAAGGUAGGGGAGAAUGGAAUUCCUGGUGGAGCGGUGGAAUGCGCAGAUAUCAGGAGGAACACCAGUGGCGAAGGCGGUUCUCUGGGCCUUUCCUGACGCUGAGGAGCGAAAGCGUGGGGAGCGAACAGGCUUAGAUACCCUGGUAGUCCACGCUGUAAACGGUGGGUACUAGGUGUGGGGUCCAUUCCACGGGUUCCGUGCCGUAGCUAACGCUUUAAGUACCCCGCCUGGGGAGUACGGCCGCAAGGCUAAAACUCAAAGGAAUUGACGGGGCCCCGCACAAGCGGCGGAGCAUGCGGAUUAAUUCGAUGCAACGCGUAGAACCUUACCUGGGUUUGACAUGGAUCGGGAGUGCUCAGAGAUGGGUGUGCCUCUUUUGGGGUCGGUUCACAGGUGGUGCAUGCCUGUCGUCAGCUCGUGUCGUGAGAUGUUGGGUUAAGUCCCGCAACGAGCGCAACCCUUGUUCACUGUUGCCAGCACGUUAUGGUGGGGACUCAGUGGAGACCGCCGGGGUCAACUCGGAGGAAGGUGGGGAUGACGUCAAGUCCUCAUGCCCCUUAUGUCCAGGGCUUCACGCAUGCUACAAUGGCUGGUACAGAGAGUGGCGAGCCUGUGAGGGUGAGCGAAUCUCGGAAAGCCGGUCUCAGUUCGGAUUGGGGUCUGCAACUCGACCUCAUGAAGUCGGAGUCGCUAGUAAUCGCAGAUCAGCAACGCUGCGGUGAAUACGUUCCCGGG
rnacentral:rRNA from 1 species